AACGAACGCUGGCGGCAGGCCUAACACAUGCAAGUCGAACGCCUCAGCAAUGGGGAGUGGCAGACGGGUGAGUAACACGUGGGAACAUGCCCUUUGAUUUGGAAUAACUCAGGGAAACUUGAGCUAAUACCGGAUAAGCCCGAGAGGGGAAAGAUUUAUCGCCGAAGGAUUGGCCCGCGUCCGAUUAGCUAGUUGGUGAGGUAAUGGCUCACCAAGGCGACGAUCGGUAGCUGGUCUGAGAGGAUGAUCAGCCACACUGGGACUGAGACACGGCCCAGACUCCUACGGGAGGCAGCAGUGGGGAAUAUUGGACAAUGGGCGCAAGCCUGAUCCAGCCAUGCCGCGUGAGUGAUGAAGGCCCUAGGGUUGUAAAGCUCUUUCGCCAGGGACGAUAAUGACGGUACUUGGAUAAGAAGCCCCGGCUAACUUCGUGCCAGCCGCCGCCGUAAAAC
rnacentral:rRNA from 1 species